GGAGGUGAGGGGGACUCUGACUGGCACCUGUCCCCCUUGGGGCUGGGCUUGGUUUGCCUGGCUGACCGUCUAGGUGGCUGUCCUCUUCCUCCCUUACUGCUCCACGAGGCCUUUCUAGAAGCCACAGUCAGCCAAAGCAGACAGCCUUCCCCAACACAGCAGGGCCAUUCUUUGGAUGAAUGAUGUACAAAUAACUGUCCUCCUAGUUAAAACUUCCCCAAAAGAGCUUUCCAGGAAAUUAAAUAUCUAUAUGUAGAGAGAUUUGAGUAAGUCAUUUGCAAGAUUUUGAAUGAAAACUUUAUUAAGGGAGUCUAGGACAGCUCUC
rnacentral:snRNA from 1 species